rnacentral:lncRNA from 1 species
UCAUUAUUCCAGUAUUCACAUCCCAAUUCCUUCACGGUCUUGCCUCUAUUCGUCUCUCGUCUCAUCCUCUCCACCUCUCUCUCCGUCUCAGUCUCCGGCCUCCGCCUCUCACGAUCUCACCUCGACAACUAUGUUCUUCAAUCUCGACGGCCCGACCUCUCUUCCGAGUUCCAACGUCAGGUAAAUAUAUAUGGCAUACUACUAAUGUUCAAUCCCUUCCUCACACUUACGGAUCUGGAAACAGGACAUGUAAAUUAAUGUAAAUCUAGAAACAUGACGCCUUUCCUUGGAUCAAGUUGGUGAUUUUUGAAACUGGGUCUUUAUUAUUUCUUUCAAUUUUGGUGCAUAAAUGGUUGCCCGGUUAAACAAUUUGAAGAAACCGGCGCACUUAUGACUUUCUGUUGUUGAUUGUAAUUUGUAAUGUUGUAACCUGUUUAGUGUUAAGGUAACUGUUAAUUAUGGAAGCCUUUUAUUUCAGUUAUUCGGUUAUUAGCUAAUUCGAUUAACAAUUCGGAUACUAAAAAUGCGUUAAUUUCGAUUUUCAGCUAUAACCGAAUAGUUUAUUCGGUUCGGUUUGGUUAUAACCGAAUGCUCACUCCUAAUUACAAUUGUAUUAAUCAUUUAAGAUCAAGUUUACUAGCUUUAUCAAUAUUCGUGAUAUUAUAGAUUCAGUUCGACUCGAUUUACACUUCUAUGAGUGCAUUUUAAGCAAACAAAUUUCUUCUCACUUUUGAGAAGAAAGUUAAAGAAAAGAAAAUAAAACAUUCUCUUCUCUUCUCUUUUUUUUUUCUUUAAUUGAAAAACUCUCAGCCACUAUGUUAUUUUGUUAAGAAAAGAAGCUAAGGAAAAUCUAUUCGAAUAUCUCCAAUUCUUAUAUUUGUGAGUUUUUUAAGAAAGAACGAAAGAGAUUUUGAAAUAAAAUUAAUUUUAUUGUUGAGUUAAAACCUUCACCGAAAAGGUAGAGGAUUUAGAAAGACGAUUACAUAUUUUACAUUACCAAAAAUAAUAUUUAAAAUAUUAAAUAAUAGAAAUUGAUAUUUUUAUAAAUUUUUUUUGAUAUUGUCAACAUAUUAAUCAUUAAAAAUUCAACACAUCAACUAAUAAUUAUAUAUGUAAAAAUAUAAAAAAUGACGUAGAAAUAUCAAUUUCCUUAAAUAAUAUACCAUUGUUCUCUCCUCUUCACUCUGUUGAGUUCUACCGUGCUUGCUCCGCCGUUCGCUUGUCUGCCAUUAAUUUUCCGGUUUGCUGUUUUUUUGUUGAAAUCUCUGGUAAGAUCCCCAAAUCAUGUACCCUAAUUUUUUCAAAUUGAUAACUCAAAUUUGUUUUAAUCAAAUUUUAUCCUCUACUCGUUCAUCUUUAUUCAUUACCUUGUUUUCAUGAAUAUGGAUCCUCAAUAUUGUGAGGUAAAUGAAUUGAUAGCUUUUCUGAGAUUCUUUUUCCUAUGAUGGUAGUUGGGGGUUUUAGUCCUUUCGGGGUUCCAUAGAUUAAUACUCUCUGUAGAAUCCAGUAGCUAGAAAUAGUUUUACUGUCUGUGUCCUUGGAUCUAUCUCUAUUUUUGUGUUGAAUGUGGAGUUUGUGUGAAAUGUGGGAUCAUUCAAUCUCUCUCUUUUUAAUUUGUUUUCCUGUUGUGAAGGUGCAAUUAUGAAGCAGAGUCUGUGAUGUAUUGAAGCCCACCAUUAACUAUUAGCUUUAUUUUUGUUAUGAUAAAUUCAAAAAGUCAUUGUCCCAAAGUUAUUUGGUUUCACAAAUUAACUGACAAAUUAACUUUUAGCCAAAUUAACUGUCACAAAGAAAAUGACAUAGCCUUCUAUGGAAUUGGAGGAGUAUUCCGGGUAUCAAUUGUUAGAAAGUUAGGUUGGUUAUUUUUUUUUUCUUAGUUACAAUAGUGGUAUAGGGAUUCUUAUAACUAGCAUAAUAUACAAAUAGUACUAUAGUAAAUAUACUGCUGCUGCUUUCUAAAGUGAAGUUGUCCAAAAGUAUUAAAUGGGUAUGCUACAAAUAAUGUGAGCUUUUUUUGGUGUCCCUAUGGGAGUAUUCUGUAGUCAAAGUUGAUUAUAAAGUAUUUAAUAGUCAAUUUAUUUUGUACCAUUUAUUUUUCAUAGAUGUAAUUUAGAAAAAAGAAAAAAAAUCUUCAUACGCACAUUUAUGGUACACAAGACGAUAUUUUUGAGAAGGGAUGUUAUCCUCUUGACUAUUUGAUAAUUGAUAUUUCAUGUGCGUGUGCAUGUUAGAUAUGAUGUAGUAUUCUCGACUCAAUAAUAACACCUCUUGUCUAGUUCAAUGCGGGUGGCAUGUGGUACGAGGAUGUGGGGUGGGGGAGAAGGAAAAGUGAAUGGUGAAUAUAGGUUGGUUUUCCCUAAAUUAGGGCAUGUUAGGACAAGGCCUCCUCCCCCCAAAACAGGGUCACUCAUUGACAAAUGUGACCUGUCUUUGUUGUAUUCGAGUCCUGGACCAAGAGCUACUAGCUACCUUACCUGUCAUUAUUACUAAUAGUAGUAUUUAUUUUUGGCGGUGGCAGAAAUCUAUGUAUUUUGAAAGGUUUUCAUUUUCAUCAGUCACCCUCAUCUAAUCUAAUCUAAUCUAAUCUAAUCUAAUCAAUUUCAUCAUUAUUCAUUCAUUCAUGUCAUUAUUACUAAUAUAUAUAUAUAUAUAUAUAUAUAUGAUAAUCAAAUGCAUUUGAACUCUUGUAAAACCUUGUGUAUUAUAAUUAUAAUGACAUUCUUCUGUCUUGCAGACAACUUGGUAUUCUUAAAAUUGAUAGCAUAACCCAUAAAGAGGAUUAUAAUUUGAUGUAGGUAUGAGCAGAACAUUAUGUUUCUGGUCUUCGUCAUAAUUUGAUGCAGCUCUUGUCCUUCUGUUAGAAUUUUUUUUUGUGGGAGCAAAAAUAUUUGACUAUUAGAUGACCUUUUUCGUAUUGGACAGAGAAUUUAUUGUAGUCAUAAUUAGAGAAGUUAUUACUCUUCUUACGCACUAUUAUUUAGGGUUUUAUUAGGGUUCUUUUAAAUACUUAUUGUGUAAUAUAUCUACCAACCUUGUGAAUUUCUUCCUUUCUUUCUUUUUCACACCCACCCCACUCAGACUUGGAUAGAGAAAUUUCUCAGUAGUUUGAGUUUGACCCUUCUGAUCCAUUCUAUUUGUUGUUGUUGUUGUUGAGGAGGAGGAGGCAGAGGCAAGUACUACUAGCCUAGAUAUUAGGUAAUGUCACAUCACAAUUUCGUCCUUAUAUAUACACUGUAUUUUACUUGCUUUCUUUCUUUAAUUUGUUUGUGUACCUACCCGCACAGAAUACAAAUCGAUAUAAGUAUAUGUGAAAGAUGCCAUCUUUAUCUUUUCCCUCUUCAUUCAUUUCAUUUCGUUUGCAGAUUUCCAGGAUUUGAUAUACUCCUUUCUAACUAUAUAGAAGAAGGAGAAGAAGAAUGGCUCAGCUUUGUUGCUCUCCUCUCCCCAAUCACUACCACCAUCUCAACCCAAAUCGCGCCAUUUCCCCUCUUCCUGAUUAUAACAAUCUCACUUUCUCUUCCUUCUCCCUACCCUUCUUUGCUCCAUCUCUCUCCAUCUCUCCUUUUCCAACUAAUCCAUUCAACUUGCCCAAAUCCCAUAUUCCUUGAUAGACUCCACGGCACGCUUGCGUGAGGUGGUUGUUGCCCGGAUCGUUUCUAGCACAGUUGUUGGGUGAAUUGCUUGCAAUAUCUUAACCCCUCGUCUAUACUUUAGACGGUAAUCUUGGUACAAUUGCUCGCGUUCGGAAUCUGCGUUUAAUGGACAUCAACAACACCUUGACCCCUCGCUUAUAUUGAAGCGGUAAUCUCGAUACAAUCGACGAUUGAUGCGGUAGAAGACGCCACACACAACUAUGAACUGUUGUAUGAUAAGUCAAAUUGAAUCUCAAAGAAAUUACUAAGAAAAUACUAUUUUCUUAGGAAUUCUUCAAAGAACCAAAAGUAGAGAAUAAACUCACAAAUAUAUUGAAGAAUGAAUAAUGUGUUUGAUUACAUCAACUUAGACCUCUAUUUAUACUACUCAAAACGAUUCAAAUCCUAAUAGGAAUUUAUAAACUAUAACCCUAAUAGAAGUCAAUUUGGAAAAGAAUUCUAAUUAAAAAAAGAAGUCCUAAUUACAAUAGAAUUAUAAAAAUCUAAAAAUCAUUGCUGAAUAUGUAAUUCGUGGGCUUAGUAAGAGCAGAAUUGGGCUUGUAUUAAAUUGACCCAAAUUUGUGUCUCAUCCUUCUCUUUGGGUUUCCUUGUGUUAGCUUCAGCCCAAACAUCUUGGAUCAAUCCAUUGAGAUCUUGUUUGAACCUUUUAGUUCUAGCCUUCCUUGAUCCCCACGUCCCUUUAGUCUUGUUUGGGUCCAUGCAUGCCAUGUCCUCAUCAUUCCUCUCCUCUUGAAAAGGAUUUGUCCUCAAAUUGUCACCUACAUCAAACGGACUUAGAUCAGUAACGUUAAAUGUGGUACUAACAUUAUACUCAACUGGCAAAUCCAAUUUAUAGGCAUUGUCAUUGAUACGCUUGAGAACUUGAAAUGGACCAUCUCCCCUCGGAAGCAAUUUCGAACGUCUUUGAACGGGGAAUCUUUCUUUCCGUAUAUGUAACCACACCCAAUCUCCGGGUUCAAAGAUCACUUGAUGUCGUCCCUUGUUCGCGUGCUUAAUGUACUGUUCCGUCCUCCGUUCAAUCCGUUCACAAAUAUCGAAUCAUGAUCAUGCUUAGACCUAGGUAAACCCAACACAAAGUCCAUAGAAAGAUCAAUCCAAGGUUCAUUAGGAAUAGGCAAUGGUGUAUACAAUCCAUAGGGUUGAACACAAGAUUUAGCUUGGCGACAAGUAGUUAUCACAUAUUCUUUCCACAUCUCGUUUCAUAUGAGGCCAAUAAAAAUGUUCUUUCAAAAUAGUAAAAGUUUUAUCAACGCCAAAAUGUCCCAUUAAACCACCCCCAUGUGAUUCCCUAACCAACAACUCACGCAAAGAACAUGCAAGAAUACAUAAUUUAUUUUCACGAAACAAGAAUCCGUCAAUUCUAAAGUAUUUACCCACAACAUUCUUUUCACAAAUUUUAAACUCUUCACCGAAAUCAAGGUCAUUAUCAUAUAACUCUUUAAUUCGUUCAAACCCAAUCAAUUUCGUAUCAAGAGUAUUUAACAAAACAUACCUGCGAGACAAAGCAUCUGCAACGACGUUCUCCUUACCUUGCUUAUAUCGAAUAACAUAUGGAAAUGUCUCGAUAAAUUCCAUCUAUCGUGCAUGCCUUUUGUUCAACUUGUGCUGACCCUUAAAUUUUUCAAUGAUUCAUGAUCGGUGUCAGUGGAUCACAAACUCCUUAGGCCACAAGUAAUGUUGCCAUGUCUCCAAAGCUCUAACCAAAGCGUACAUCUCUUUGUCAUAUGUAGGAUAGUUCAAAGCUGCCCCACUCAACUUUUCGCUAAAAUACGCCACUGGUUUCCCUUCUUGCAUCAACACAGCUCCAAUCCCUAAACCUGAAGCAUCACACUCAAUCUCAAAAGUUUUAGCAAAGUUAGGCAAAAUAAGUAAAGGAGCAUUUGUCAAUUUAUCCUUAAUCAAAUUAAAUGCUUUUUCCUGUUCA